UACCUAGGUGGCAAGCGUUAUCCGGAAUUAUUGGGCGUAAAGAGCGCGCAGGUGGUUAAUUAAGUCUGAUGUGAAAGCCCACGGCUUAACCGUGGAGGGUCAUUGGAAACUGGUUGACUUGAGUGCAGAAGAGGGAAGUGGAAUUCCAUGUGUAGCGGUGAAAUGCGUAGAGAUAUGGAGGAACACCAGUGGCGAAGGCGGCUUCCUGGUCUGCAACUGACACUGAGGCGCGAAAGCGUGGGGAGCAAACAGG
rnacentral:rRNA from 1 species